rnacentral:rRNA from 1 species
UACAGAGGGUGCGAGCGUUAAUCGGAAUUACUGGGCGUAAAGCGUGCGUAGACGGUUAUUUAAGUCGGGUGUGAAAGCCCCGGGCUCAACCUGGGAAUUGCAUUCGAGACUGAAUAGCUAGGGUACGGUAGAGGGAAGCGGAAUUUCCGGUGUAGCGGUGAAAUGCGUAGAUAUCGGAAGGAACGCCGGUGGCGAAAGCGGCGGACUGGGCACCUCCUGACGCUGAGGCGCGAAAGCUAGGGGAGCAAACGGG